rnacentral:rRNA from 1 species
UACAGAGGUCUCAACCGUUGUUCGGAUUCAUUGGGCGUAAAGGGUGCGUAGGCGGUCGCGCAAGUCGGAUGUGAAAUCUCAGGGCUCAACCCUGAAACUGCAUUCGAUACUGCGUGGCUAGAGUGCUGGAGGGGAGACUGGAAUUUACGGUGUAGCGGUGAAAUGCGUAGAUAUCGUAAGGAAGACCAGUGGCGAAGGCGGGUCUCUGGACAGUUCCUGACGCUGAGGCACGAAGGCCAGGGGAGCAAACGGG